rnacentral:rRNA from 1 species
GACGAACGCUGGCGGCGUGCUUAACACAUGCAAGUCGAACGGUGAAGGGACCAGCUUGCUGGUUCUGGAUGAGUGGCGAACGGGUGAGUAACACGUGAGUAACCUGCCCCCUUCUUCUGGAUAACCGCAUGAAAGUGUGGCUAAUACGGGAUAUUCUGGGUCUGUCGCAUGGCGGGCCCGGAAAAGAUAUUGCUUCGGUGGGGGAUGGGCUCGCGGCCUAUCAGCUUGUUGGUGGGGUGAUGGCCUACCAAGGCGGGGACGGGUAGCCGGCCUGAGAGGGUGGACGGUCACACUGGGACUGAGACACGGCCCAGACUCCUACGGGAGGCAGCAGUGGGGAAUAUUGCACAAUGGGCGCAAGCCUGAUGCAGCGACGCCGCGUGAGGGAUGGAGGCCUUCGGGUUGUAAACCUCUUUCGCCAGUGAAGCAGGCCUGCUCCUUGCGGGUGGGUUGACGGUAGCUGGAUAAGAAGCGCCGGCUAACUACGUG